UACGGAGGGUGCAAACGUUGUCCGGAAUCACUGGGCGUAAAGCGCAUGUAGGUGGUUUGUUAAGUGAGUGAUUAAAGACCGACGCCUAACGUCGGGAAGGUUGCUCAUACUGGCAGACUUGAGUAUGGCAGGGGUAAGCGGAACUUUAGGUGUAGGAGUGAAAUCCGUAGAUAUCUAAAGGAACACCAAUGGCGAAGGCAGCUUACUGGGCCAUCACUGACACUGAGAUGCGAAAGUGUGGGGAGCAAACGGG
rnacentral:rRNA from 1 species